GGGGGUGCCCCGGAUUCGAUUGCCGGUGAGCGAAAAGAUAAGCAUACCGUAGUCGGAGCGUCUACGAUAAAAAGUUCCACCUAAACUUAAAUGCAAAUAGAAAUGCAAACUACGCUCUUGCAGCGUAACUUCGUUUAUUAACGAAUCGUCGCGCCCGAUUUAUCCGUCGGUCGGGGUCGCGGCGUCAUCAAGACGGAACACUCUUUGAAAAAUCGGAAAGCGUUUUUGAAAGAGUAUUUAGCUUUCUGCGUGUUGCAAAGCGUGUUUACCCGCGUUGCAACAUUAAGAAAUCAUAGAUAAACUAAGUAUGUAGAAAGUUUUUUGGCAGCCGAGUAAGACGUCGGUUCAACUCCGACCACCUCCACCA
rnacentral:tmRNA from 1 species